GGGUAAGUUUGGUCAAGCGGCGGGGGUAAUACGGGGAGGUGGAGCGUUAAUCGGGUUUACUGGGCGUAAAGCGGGCGUGGGCGGCUUUGUAAGUCGGAUGUGAAAUCCCCGAGGUUAACUUGGGAAUUGCAUGCGAUACUGGGAAGCUAGAGUAUGGGAGAGGAUGGUAGAAUUCCAGGUGUAGCGGUGAAAUGCGUAGAGAUCUGGAGGAAUACCGAUGGCGAAGGCAGCCAUCUGGCCUAAUACUGACGCUGAGGUACGAAAGCAUGGGGAGCAAACAGGAUUAGAUACCCCGGUAGU
rnacentral:rRNA from 1 species